GUUUGCAACAUUCUAAUUACUAGCAGUUUGUGGGAAAUUCCUGUAUUAGUUUCAGCAUUGCUCAUUUCUGACGUAUACCUCUCUGCUAACAGCUUGCUUUCCAGCACUCACACAGCUAAUUGCUGCAACAAUCAGCUGUGCUGUCUCACAGCUUUCAGUCUGUGUCUUACCUCCUGGAUCCGGACAAGUUUCUUUGCUAAAUAAAUCUUAAUCAAAACACCCAUCAGAAUUAACUAUCAUUACAGCUAUACACAAGCAUGCAGCAUAAAGCUGUGCCGAUGGACACAUUGGAACCAUUUUUCACAAAACAACAUUUUUUUCUUUGGUGAAUUAAUGGCUGUUAAAACCUCCUUAGUAAUACUGGAGUCCAUAUGUGCACUGUAGGAAUGCAUGAGCUUUAUUUAGUGCUUAAUAUCCCUUUAAUUUUGGAAACAUUCCGACAAUAUCUCCACCUGAUGAAAUAUAGAUUGAUCCAGGGGUAUAAAGAGGGAGUCACCAUUUACAUGCACAUGCUCCUGAAGAAGAAGAGAAAAAAAUACUGCAACAAACUGAGGCUAAUCUCUCUACUGUCCCUUUAAACUAUUAACUCCUAAACUACAAAAGAAAAACAGAUGCAUUUUAUCUUGAACUGAAGCUUACUGAAAGAUAUUUGUUCAUGCAAAGGUCUGAAUAUUUCAUUAUAAUUGUUGUCAAAACUGAGGCUCCUUUGGAAAACAGUGUUGCCAGGUCUGAACCCUGUUACACUUCACAGUAAAAGAGAAGGGUUGUGACACUGUACGUUAUAUAAAUUGUAUAACAACUAAUAGACAAUAAAUAGUCAAACUUU